CGAAGCGUUGCCGUGGAAGUUUAGUGAACCUUAUCACUUAGAGGAAGGAGAAGUCGUAACAAGGUUUCCGUAGGUGAACCUGCGGAAGGAUCAU
rnacentral:rRNA from 1 species